GGCCAUAGCUCAGUGGUAAAGCAUCUGCUUUGCAUGCAGAAGGUCCCAACUUCGAUCCCUGGCAUCUCUG